rnacentral:rRNA from 1 species
UACGGAGGGUGCAAGCGUUAAUCGGAAUUACUGGGCGUAAAGGGCGCGUAGGCGGCCAGCACAAGUCAGUUGUGAAAUCUCCGGGCUUAACUCGGAAAGGUCAACUGAUACUGUGCGGCUAGAGUGCAGAAGGGGCAACUGGAAUUCUCGGUGUAGCGGUGAAAUGCGUAGAUAUCGAGAGGAACACCUGCGGCGAAGGCGGGUUGCUGGGCUGACACUGACGCUGAUGCGCGAAAGCCAGGGGAGCGAACGGG